rnacentral:rRNA from 1 species
GACGAACGCUGGCGGCGUGCCUAAUACAUGCAAGUUGAGCGCUGAAGGUUGGUACUUGUACCAACUGGAUGAGCAGCGAACGGGUGAGUAACGCGUGGGGAAUCUGCCUUUGAGCGGGGGACAACAUUUGGAAACGAAUGCUAAUACCGCAUAAAAACUUUAAACACAAGUUUUAAGUUUGAAAGAUGCAAUUGCAUCACUCAAAGAUGAUCCCGCGUUGUAUUAGCUAGUUGGUGAGGUAAAGGCUCACCAAGGCGAUGAUACAUAGCCGACCUGAGAGGGUGAUCGGCCACAUUGGGACUGAGACACGGCCCAAACUCCUACGGGAGGCAGUAGUAGGGAAUCUUCGGCAAUGGACGAAAGUCUGACCGAGCAACGCCGCGUGAGUGAAGAAGGUUUUCGGGUCGUAAAACUCUGUUGGUAGAGAAGAACGUUGGUGAGAGUGGAAAGCUCAUCAAGUGACGGUAACUACCCAGAAAGGGACGGCUAACUACGUG